UACGAAGGGUGCAAGCGUUACUCGGAAUUACUGGGCGUAAAGCGUGCGUAGGUGGUGAGUUAAGUCUGUCGUGAAAGCCCCGGGCUCAACCUGGGAAUGGCGAUGGAUACUGGCUCGCUAGAGUGCGGUAGAGGAGAGUGGAAUUCCCGGUGUAGCGGUGAAAUGCGUAGAGAUCGGGAGGAACAUCAGUUGCGAAGGCGGCUCUCUGGACCAGCACUGACACUGAGGCACGAAAGCGUGGGGAGCAAACAGG
rnacentral:rRNA from 1 species